rnacentral:rRNA from 1 species
GACGAACGCUGGCGGCGUGCUUAACACAUGCAAGUCGAACGGUGAAGCGAGUGCUUGCACUCGUGGAUCAGUGGCGAACGGGUGAGUAACACGUGAGUAACCUGCCCAUCACUCUGGGAUAAGCACUGGAAACGGUGUCUAAUACUGGAUACGACCAACCCUUGCAUGGGGUGUUGGUGGAAAGAUUUAUCGGUGAUGGAUGGACUCGCGGCCUAUCAGCUUGUUGGCGGGGUAAUGGCUCACCAAGGCGACGACGGGUAGCCGGCCUGAGAGGGUGACCGGCCACACUGGGACUGAGACACGGCCCAGACUCCUACGGGAGGCAGCAGUGGGGAAUAUUGCACAAUGGGCGAAAGCCUGAUGCAGCGACGCCGCGUGAGGGAUGACGGCCUUCGGGUUGUAAACCUCUUUCAGCAGGGAAGAAGCGAAAGUGACGGUACCUGCAGAAGAAGCACCGGCUAACUACGUG